UACGGGCGCAGCAGUGGGAAUUUUGGAUGGCGGAAACCACAGUCCAGCCAUCCGCGUGUGCGAUGAAGGCCUUUUGGGUUGUAAAGCACUUUUGGCAGGAAAACGGCGCAGGAUAAUGCGUGCAACCAAUGAAACCACCUGCAGGGCAAAGCACCGGCUAACUACGUGCCAGCAGCCGCGGUAAUACGUAGGGUGCAAGCGUUAAUCGGAAUGCUGGGCGUAAAGCGUGCUGCGACGGUUCGGAAAGAAAGAUGUGAAAUCCCAGAGCUUAACUUUGGAACUGCAUUUUUAACUACCGAGCUAGAAAUUGUGUCAGAGGAGGUGGAAUUCCGCGUGUAGCAGUGAAAUGCGUAGAUAUGCGGAGAAGGAACACCGAUGGCAAGGCAGCCUCCUGGGAUAACACUGACGCUCAUGCACGAAAAGCGUGGGAGCAAACAGGAUUAGAUGCGGUAGU
rnacentral:misc_RNA from 1 species